CCUUAGGGUUUGAUCCUGGUUCAGGACGAACGCUGGCGGCGUGCCUAAUACAUGCAAGUCGAGCGGACCGACGGGAGCUUGCUCCCUUAGGUCAGCGGCGGACGGGUGAGUAACACGUGGGUAACCUGCCUGUAAGACUGGGAUAACUCCGGGAAACCGGGGCUAAUACCGGAUGCUUGAUUGAACCGCAUGGUUCAAUCAUAAAAGGUGGCUUUUAGCUACCACUUGCAGAUGGACCCGCGGCGCAUUAGCUAGUUGGUGAGGUAACGGCUCACCAAGGCGACGAUGCGUAGCCGACCUGAGAGGGUGAUCGGCCACACUGGGACUGAGACACGGCCCAGACUCGUACGGGAGGCAGCAGUAGGGAAUCUUCCGCAAUGGACGAAAGUCUGACGGAGCAACGCCGCGUGAGUGAUGAAGGUUUUCGGAUCGUAAAACUCUGUUGUUAGGGAAGAACAAGUACCGUUCGAAUAGGGCGGUACCUUGACGGUACCUAACCAGAAAGCCACGGCUAACUACGUGCCAGCAGCCGCGGUAAUACGUAGGUGGCAAGCGUUGUCCGGAAUUAUUGGGCGUAAAGCGCGCGCAGGCGGUUUCUUAAGUCUGAUGUGAAAGCCCCCGGCUCAACCGGGGAGGGUCAUUGGAAACUGGGGAACUUGAGUGCAGAAGAGGAGAGUGGAAUUCCACGUGUAGCGGUGAAAUGCGUAGAGAUGUGGAGGAACACCAGUGGCGAAGGCGACUCUCUGGUCUGUAACUGACGCUGAGGCGCGAAAGCGUGGGGAGCGAACAGGAUUAGAUACCCUUGUAGUCCCACCGCCGUAAACCUAUAAAGUUGGUAAGUGUUAGAGGGUUUCCCGCCCCUUUAGUGCUGCAGCAAAACGCCAUU
rnacentral:rRNA from 1 species